AUUGAACGCUGGCGGCAGGCCUAACACAUGCAAGUCGAACGAGUGGCGGACGGGUGAGUAAUGUCUGGGAAACUGCCUGAUGGAGGGGGAUAACUACUGGAAACGGUAGCUAAUACCGCAUACCAUCAGAUGUGCCCAGAUGGGAUGAGGUUGUUGGUGGGGUAACGGCUCACCAAGGCGACGAUCCCUAGCUAGUCUGAGGGGAUGACCAGCCACACGGGAAGGGAGACCCGGUCCAGCCUCCUACGGGAGGCAGCAGUGGGGAAUAUUGCACAAGUGGCGCAAGCCUGAUGCAGCCAUGCCGGGUGGAGGAAGAAGGCCUUCGGGUUGUAAAGUACUUUCAGCGGGGAGGCGUUACCCGCAGAAGAAGCACCGGCUAACUCCGUGCCAGCAGCCGCGGUAAUAC
rnacentral:rRNA from 1 species